UUCUCCUCCCAUUCCCAAGUACCAUCAAGUUUCUUCCUAGAGCGCUAAAUUGGCUUUUUUGAUUCCUGCCAAAUCUUGCUCAGGGAAACCACCUAUGGUCUCAAAGUUGUGUUACUAUUUCCAUAUAUUUUGUGAAUAUUUUCCUUUUGAAAAGAACAACUCCUCCUGCUCCUUUUUCAUCCAUGUGACGUCACACAUGCAUACAUGAAAGAUGAAGUUGUGACCUGUCCUUUUUAUUCUUUGCCCUACAAGCUCAGGACCUGAUGCUAUUGCCAUAUUCUUACACUUGUAAAUACAGCAAAUGGGCUCAUUUCUCGAGUGCCCUCUCUGUGCCUGGCCCUGUAUCUGGGACCUCAGAGAGGGCGGUGAAUAUAACGGACGUGAACCCUGCCCUCAAGGGGUUUAUGUUACCCCUGCCGCCAGCAGGAUCUCUUAGCUCUGCCGAGCUCCCCAGUUACCAGGGCAACAGCACUUUCGGAUGGGUAAGGAGUUCUGACAAAUGUGCGGUAUCAUACACAGUUCUGCAAACAAAGCCAUUUAUUUUAGGCUGAAGCAUUUGCAGCAAAAUUUGAAUAAUUUAUCUGGAAUGUGUCAGAUUGAAUGCUUUAUGAUAUCUUUUUGGUUUUCUUUGGUAGAAUAUUUAUACAGUAAAAGCUCUGUUAUCCUAGAUGUCUCAACUAACUCUCUGCCAGUCACUGCAAACAAGAUGUAUGGACUAAACAGGGAGAUGGUCCCAAGAAUCUGAGCCUGUCUGAGAGAAGUAUUAUAGGUCAUUACUGAAGUGAAUCAGGAGGAUCUGAAGGAUGUUUUACUCAGUGCUCUAAGGUAGAGGUCCCCAACCUUUUUGGCACCAGGGACCGGUUUUGUGGAAGACAGGUUUUCCAUGGAUGGGCGUGGGGGAGUGGGGGACGGUUCAGGCGGUAAUGCGAGCGAUGGGGAGAGAUGGGAAGCGGCAGGUGAAGCUUCGCUCGCUGGCCCGCCGCUCACCUUCUGCUGUGCCGCCCGGUUCCUAAAAGGCCGCGAACCAGUACCGGUCCAUGGCCCAGGGGUUGGGGAACCCUGCUCUAAGGUCUUGGGACAGAAAUAACAAAAAAGAGGUUUUGCUGGGCCACAGCUGCUACUAAAUGUUACCCAUUCUGAACCAAAGAACUAGAAACAUCCCUGAUCCCACCCUCCUCAACCCAAGAAAAAAUACUGAGUCCUGAAAUUCCCAUUAAAAAUGGAAUCCUCUUGGUUAAGUUGGCAUCGCUCUUGGAAAGAGGGUCAGUCAAUCCAGGAGGACCAUCCGCAUACUUGGGCUUGCCAUUAACCUUUCCUAGGAUUCAUGUGUGCAGGGCCCAGCCAGCACGGUUUGCUGAGAGAAUGAGACACCACAGGUGAGCAUCACUGGUUCAAAGCCUGGAGGGAGGAAGAGAAAGAUGCUGGGCAGCCUUGCCUGGAAAGGCCUGGACAGCCCCAGCCCCAAGAGAGCACUUUAAGCGUGGAGGCAUCUGGAGAUGAGUGGCUGCUCAACUCUGCAGGGGGCUCUUGUUUGCCUCUAAGUGAUUUCUGAUAUAUUUCCAAGCACAAAAUCAAACUUUCUUCUUUAAGAACCUUAACGAGGGAAUUCCUUGGCCGUCCAGUGGUUAGGACUCUGCGCUUCCACUGCAGCGGCACAGGUUCCGUCUCUGGUCGGGGAACUAAGAUCCCGUAUGCCAUGUGGUGUGGCCAAACCCCCCCCCCCAAAACCAAAAUCAAAACAAAACAAAACAAAUCAAAACAAAAAAGAAUCUUAACGAAUGUUCCUGCAUGUGUCCUAGGUUUUUCUACGACAGGGAUGUUUUGGACAUCUCUUGUCCUUGCCCAGGCUGAGGCAGGAGAGGUGAGGUGCAGCACCCUACAGCCCCAGAAGGGCCUCGUCAGAGCACACUGUGCUGGGAGGUCACGGGUGGCAGAAACUGCUGGCCUCUCUUUACACAGCCCACAGGAAACAUUUGCAUGUCUAACACUUUCUGCACAAAGCGGCCCAUGGUAGCAAUGCCCGGAUAUGGUUCCCAAGCUGUUCAUGGCACUGCUUUGUGAUUCAUCUUUCUACACAGUCUCUGGGAGUCCAGUGGGGGGAUCCAAACCUUCCUGUUGUCUAUGUUCGUAAUGCUGGGAGAACUAAAUGACACCGAAAAUUCUGGAAAUGAGGAGAAAGAGACUAGAACCACAAGCACCAGGCAGAUGAAGAGAGAGAAGAGUCGUUUAGGAGCAACUUUGACCUACCUCAUCAGUCCAAGGUUUUUGAUUUAUGUAAGCUGUGCCUUAUCGAUAUGGGUUUGGCAAGGCAUUCUCUGAAAGCACAGCACUGAAAAAGCUAACUUAUUUAAAAUCUGGACUGUUGGUCCUUAGGCCAUAUUGAUAACUUCAGUCACAAAUUAAAGAAGAGUGUGAUAUGUCAGUAAAAAAUUUGGUCAUGUCUUGCUCUUCACUCAGAAUGCCUCUAUCACCACCUGCUGUGCGGUCCUGAUGCUUGUGUUCUCAUACAGAAGGGAGCUGGAGCAAGUAUGGCAAGGCUGGUUCACUGUGUUUGGUCCUUUGACCUCACUGUGAGCCAGCUUCUUCAGGAGAACAUUCUGGAAACAGAGCGAGGGGCUGUGAACGGUGUGCAGUGUUCCCUGAACUACCUCAUGGGCCUCAUCCACUUCGUCCUGGUCAUGCUGGCCCCGCAGCGUGUUCGGCAUGCUGGUCUUCAUCUCCACCCUGUUUGUAACCACGGGCCAAGUGCUGUAUUUUUUUAAUGCAAGGAAGGGUAAGAUUACAAAUGCCCAUGCUCAGAAGACAGCGAAGAAGUGCACUUCAACCUGAGAGGUAGGCAGCACCUCUGACCACUCAGAGCCCUACUAACACUGGCCCCAUGUCACUGUUUCCGGUGAUUUCCCCGAGUUGCUACUGGGUGCUUACCUUGUUCCACUGCUACAUUUGAGAGCAAUUAUGUCACCAUCACCUUUGGCAAUAGCAUCAACUGCUUUAAAUGCAUCUUUGGGGUGAUGGCUACAAGCCAGAGUUUGAAAGGGGUCUGACUCGUGGCACGCCCAUUAACAACUCAGAUUCCACUCCAGACAACUUGAAGGGGCUUGUUUUAAUUUUGCCAACACAAUUCAACGUUUUCAGGUUUUUAUUGUUCUUUGGGUUCUAAAAUUAGGCAGGAUCUUCUGGUCAGUAUUAAAAUUAGAGUUAGAUCACGGUCAGUGAUGUUUGGUCUCAGUUCCUUGGGUUUUUGUUCUACAGCUGGUUUGUGAAUGUCCUUUUGACGGGCUGUGUGCCCCUCACAAGGACUGAAGCUAUCUGUUGAAUUAGAUCAUGGUAACAACCUUUGGGUGGUUUCUGGGGUCUAGGGUCAGGCCAGGGAUCUGACGAUCCCUCAGCUGACUUGGGCAAGCUUCGUCUCAGCAAUCAAGCUAAGACAUCCAGUUUGACCACCACUGAUUAAGAAAACCACUAGUUUGUGAUGAGCAAAAUUUGAGUUUCUGGCUGCUUAGAAGCAUAAAACUACCUUCUGGGGAGCCUAAAAGAAAACCCAUAUAGCUCUUUGCUUUAAAUAAUGAAUUGCUUCUUUGUAAAUGCUGUGGAAUAGAAAUUCACUUAGCAGUGAGAACAAUGAGGCUAGCAAUGAAGGCUCCUCAGGCCUCAAAAUACAGAGAACCUUUCUGGGGGUCGGGGGGGAGUCACAUUUGGGGAAUGGCCUGUAGCACACUCAGUACCACCUUAGCAGGUUGGUGCUGUUGGGAAUGACAUUUUCUAAGACAGGGUUUCUCAACCUCUGCACUGUUGACAUUUUGGAUCAGAUACUCCUUUGGUGUGGAGGCGGUCCUGUGCAUUGUAGGACACUCUGCAGCAUCUCUGGUCUCUACCCACUAGAUGGAGGGAGAAGCCCACACCCACACACUUGUGAGCAUCAUAGGUGUCUUCAGACAUUACCCAAUGUCCCCAGGGAGGGUAAAAUACUCCUCCCCCCAUACCCCCUCUUAAGAACCACUGCUUAAAGGAAAUGUGAAACCUAAAGGAAAAAUCCACCUGUUGUUAAAAGACAAAAAUGACCAAAAGUCAUUCACAGUAAGGAAAUCACAAAAGGGAAUUUUGCACAGACCUGCUUCUUAGAGCUGAGUUGAGUGAAAACAAGGGAAGGAGAGAAUUUUGGGAACAUUUUGCUUAACAUAAGGUACUUUGAAAAAAACUGUACUGUAUAUAAGUUCUGGUACUACUUAUGGUGCCACCUCCCCCAAUCUUUCCUUUUCCAAGAAAAAACCUAAAGGCUACGUUACUACACACACACACACACACACACACACACACACACACACACAACCAACUAGGUCAGGAAACCAGAACUGUUCCUCGCAUAGAUUCUUCACUAAGGAGGCUGUAUUUUGAGGAGGUAGCACAUCACGUCUCCUGGCCCUUAAUUAGCCCAAUGAACACACAAGGACUUGCACAGGCGAGUCUCGGAACAAGUGUUUAAUAAAUCCAUCCUGAAGUCUUUUAUUUAAAACCUCCAGAAGUGCUAGCAGCUUGAGUGUAGAAUUUAUGUCAAGUCUUCUAAGUACCACUGGCUCUCUACACCUGCACCUCCUGCCCUUGAAAAAUUAGCUGCUUACCUGUAAAUUCUGCAUUUUAAGUGCUAAUUUUACUCUUGCUUUUCCUCCAGGCCUUGUAGAGUAGGACAGCAACAUCUUUCUAUUGGAUCGUGGAACGACUAUCUCCAUGUUUCCAUGAAUAUUUCAUGUUUUAGACCAGUACUGCCCAACAGAAAUAUAAUGCAAAUCACAUUUAUAUAAUUUUAAUAAUAUAUUUCUAAAAUAUUAUCAUUUAACUUGUAAUCAAUAUAAAACUGAGAUUUUACAUUCUUUUUUAUUGAAGUAUAGUUGAUUUAUAGUAUUGUGUUAGGUACAGGUAUAUAGCAUAGUGACUCGGUAUUUUUGCAGAUUUUAUUCCACUCUAGGUUACUAUAAGAUAAUGGGUAUAAUUUCCUGUGCUAUACAGUAUAUCUUUGUUGCUUAUCUAUUUUACAUAUAGCAACUUGUAUCUGUUAAUCCCAUACCCCUAAUUUGUCCCUUCCCACUUCCUUCUCCCCUUUGGUAACCACAAGUUUUGUUUUCUGUAUCUGUGGAAUCUAAAAAAUAAUACAAAUGAUUGUAGAUGCAUUUUAAAAAAAUAUUAAUUCUUCCAAAGCUGAUGUUUCUUACACCUCAGCAUGUCAAUUUGCACUAGACACAUUUCAAAUGCUCAAUAGCCAUAUGUGGCUAGUGGCUACUGUACUGGAGUACAGUUUGGACUCUGUGAUGAUUCCCAAAGUUCCACAUAUUUCUCCACUAUAGGAAGCCUAUAAAUGAUACAAUGGGCUCUAUUCUGCCAGGUAGUGGGGGUAACAUGCCAGAGCAUUUGUCCAACUGGAAAAUCAUUCCAUCAACUACAACAUUCUGAUCUGUUUUCCAGAAACAAUUCAUGGUGACAUACAUCAACCUGAACUGACUGGAUUUUGUCUCUUUAUCUCUGAAACAGAUUGAUGUGCAGCUGUUCUGGAAAUGCAGAUGGCAACUGGGGAGGGUACCUCAAGAUAAUUGGCCCUUGCUGUACAGACAAACUCAAGCAGGGGGCUUUCUAGCCGUGGUUGCAUAGUCCCAGAUAAGUCACAAUUUUAUAACAAAAUAUCAGAAUCCGAAAUCACAAUUUUAUAACAAAAUAUGAGAAUCAGAACUUUUCAGUUUAUGAACACAAGGUAAAUUUUGGAAAGGCAAUCCUUAUGAGUACAAAAUUAAAAUAAGCCUUUCAUACACAUCUCUGGCUGUUUAUUUGUUCUCAACAUGGCUUUCCUCUUGAGGUGUUAUCCCUGACCUUGGCUCACAGGGGUCACUGGUUGACUGACCUUACUACCCUGGUCAAAUGCCUCAGUCUUUACUAUCUCUAGAUCCCCCUGUUUAGUUAUCUGGACACCUUCUCUGUUCUACUUCUUCCUUCAAGGUACUUCAGAUCAUGAGGGAGAAAAAGCAUCUUCUCACUUGGGUUCCAGGGAGCCUAGAAUGUAAAUGACCCUGCCCCCUCCACCUCGUCCAUUUAAAAUUUAUAUUCAAGUGCCAAAUGACCAACUUGCCAACCGGAUUUCCUCUGGCUCCUAGGAAGCUCAGAGCCAAAUUGGCGGGAGCCUAAAGCAUGAGGUCUAAUGGUUUGGUUUUAUACCCUGCUCUCUUCUUGCUGAGCUUUUAUUCCCUCCUCUAAUUAUUGUAUUGUUUGCUAUUUGUUUAUAAGCCACCCCAGAUCAUUCUGGGAAUGUGGUGGGGGUAUAAAUAGAUAUAAUACUCUCUUUAUAGUUUGUCCUAACAAUUGAAUCUUUCAGAUAUUGACUCAGAUACUGAGUGAAGUUAUUCCUUAAAAGAGAGGUUGAGGGAGGCACAUUCUAACCAGCUUCAUCUUACCAAGUGUCACAGAUAAACCACACCGUGUAAGUUCCAUAAAGGCAGGAAUCAUCCAUCACAGGACUUAACACACAAGAGAAACACAGUAAAUAUUUACCAAAUUAUAUAAAUACUUGUUUGUGGAACCUCAAAUAAAAAUACAUACCUUAGUUUGGAAUAUUCACUUGAACUACAAAGACCUGUUUUGUUUUUGUUUUUUUUAAAAAUAUUUAUUUAUUUAAUUGCACAGGGUCUUAGUUGUGGCAUGUGAACUCUUGGUUGCAGCAUGCAUGUGGGAUCUAGUUCCCUGACCAGGGUUCCAACCUGGGCCCCCUGCAUUGGGAGUACGGAGUCUUAUCCACAGCGCCACCAGGGAAGUCCCAAGACCUGCUUGCUUUUUUUUUUUUUUUUUUUUUUAAAUGACAUUUUCGGCACACAUCUCAACUAUCUAUUUUUAAUUUAUUUAUUUAUUUUUGGCUGUGCUGGGUCUUCGGUUCGUGCGAGGGCUUUCUCUAGUUGCGGCAAGUGGGGGCCACUCUUCAUCGCGGUGCGGGGACCGCUCUUCAUUGCGGUGCGCGGGCCUUUCACUAUCGCGGCCCCUCCCGUUGCGGGGCACAGGCUCCAGACGCGCAGGCUCAGUAGUUGUGGCUCACGGGCCCAGCUGCUCCGUGGCAUGUGGGAUCUUCCCAGACCAGGGCUCGAACCCGUGUCCCCUGCAUUAGCAGGCAGAUUCUCAACCACUGCGCCACCAGGGAAGCCCGUGCUUGCUUUUAAGAAACAAAAACUACUUGUUUUUAAAAAUGGAAUAUGCGCAUUAUUGAAUCUAAUUAUAUGACUCAAUCUACCUGAACUGACAUAGUGAUGGCACUACUGCCAAUACCAGACAAGUGACAUCUGGGGAGGUUAGUGACUGGAGUUCUUAUGUAAGAUUUGACAUUUUCAGUGAAACCAUAACCAGUGAAUAGAAUUGUAUUCCAAUCACAUUUUCUUUUAUAGUCGUAAAGAUUCUCUUCAUGACCAUAACUCCUCCCUUGGAACUAAUAAAUCCUCUGAAAACAUUUCAUUCAGCUCCAGAUUUGCUUCACUUCUCCUCAGGGCACUUGAGCACAAAAGAAUGGCCUGGUAAUUUUAAUAGUCAUGCUGGCCAUCUUUUCACUCUUGCUUUAGCUCUUCUCAACAUGUAGGUAUGUGCUAUGCCAAGGAGGGCAAGUUGACUGCAGCCCUGGGACUGGCUGCAACUCACUUUGGUGAUCCUAGGCUGUACUUAAUCAAGGUGCUAGAUAACUCUGUAUUGCCACGGUACAGGGAAGGGAGUUGGGGGGAGAUGGAGCAGGUUAUGUACCACACCUGGAAGCACAAGGAGGCAUCUGCAGGCACUGCUUCAUCCUACAGGCAAGAUGGCCCAACACAGCUGCCAGUGCCCACGGUCAUGGUGGGUAGGGCUCAACAGGCUCCGUGGCUAGACCUGUUACCCACAGGAAAGAACAGUGACUCACAGCCAAUACUUGGCCCAUCCUUUUUUUUUUUUUUUUAAGGAAAUAACAUCUUAUUUAACUGUUUAUUGCUUGAAAUUUUUUUUGGGCCACACUGUUAGGUAUGUGGAACUUCCCCAACCAGGGAUCGAACCAGUGCCCCCUGCAGUGGAAGCUCAGAGCCUCAACCAUUGGACCACCAGGGAAGUCCCCAUCCCUCUUUUCAAAAACACCCUUGAAUAUCCCCAGAGAAAAAGUAAUCCAUGUGACUUAUGCAUCAAGCUUUGAGAUUAACCCAAACCCAAUUACUCAGCACCCAGAACCUCACUUACUCCCUAAUUCUCUCACUUAAUUCCCUGUUUUAGCCAGUAUCGGCCAAAGCCAUUCUAAAUUUUGUUGGGUAACAAUUUUCACACUUCAUUUUCUGCUACCAUGUCGCCACUAGUGUACAUUGUCAAGAGAUGCAGAGAAAAGUGCCAGGCCGCUCACACCCUGCCAAAUGGGAUUGAAAAUGCAGCUGUUAAGACGAUGAGUGUGUGCUGUUGCCUGAACCAUCCAUAAAGAGAACCUGUACACCCUUGAUGGGUGAGCAUAUACACUGAUGGUUUCUUGAGUAUUUAUUUGUGCACGAGUCACUUACAUGACCCCAAGGUAAUUUUGAUGUUUUUGCCCCUCUAAUCUCAGUAAAUCAUUCAAUUACUGACCUAAGACUGUCUUCCCACAGAUUGCAUUGGAAAUGUCAUUAAGAUGCCGGAAAGGGUAAGUUUUUAAAGCCAUGUUUAUUGAAGUUGAAUUUACAUUCAGUAAAACUCACUCCAAAAUGUGACCAAGGCAAUCAGCACCAUAAUCAAAGUGUAGAGCAGUUCUUCAACACACCCCCCCCACCCACGACCAAACCCUAUGCAGCAAACUCCUCCCUGCUCCUUAGGAAUCCACUGAUACCAUUGUCUGUCAAAGGGGUCAAAUUUAAUCAUCAAAAUAAUCUAUUAUAGGAAAAACUGUAAACACAAAAAAACAAGUUUUUAAAAGGAUACUUUGAAACAUACAAAGUUUAGAAUAGUCAAAAGUAUGGGAUUUAGAACUAACCUUUGUAAAUUCAAGCAGCUGACAGUUUUCUUAAGAUAGCUGUAUUGAUAGAAUAGCUAGUGUAGUUACUAUGUUGAGCUUCAGGCUGGGGUUGGUUGGCAGAAAAAUGAUUUUAAAUAGUUUAAAUGGAAUUGAAUUCUACAGAAAUUCUCUAUGGGGCAGAUACAUGUUCUUGCAGAUAUUUGGCACCUUUUCAAAAGUCCUCCCCUGCUACCACCAUGAAAGGGACAGUAAGCAAAAACCUCUACUCUGUAUAUGUCACUCGUCACAUGUUCAAAUACACCUUAUCUCCUCGAAAAGCUUUCAAGCACCAGCCCUGUAAGAAAAGUAUCACAGUAGGUAAUUAGAGCAGCAAUUACUAAAUAAGAUGCUAUUAAGAAAAUACAGUGUCUAGGCCAUGUUCACAAAAGCAGUGCAGGUAAGGAAAAUGAAUUCCCCAAUGUACUACACAUUGUCAACACAGGCAUAGUAAUGUUCUGACAUAAAAAUGAAAAAAAAAAAGUUUUCAACUCAAAAUCCUAUUUUCCUAAUGCUAGCAAUUCACCCUCAGCCUCUGGAAGAGUCUAACUCAAAAUGGCCACCAUCACCAAAGAUAAACAUCUUGAAAGAUUAGAUGCCAAUCACUUAAAAAUCCUUUUUUCCCCCCCUACAACAACCUUUUUCUGUACAUAAUAAAGUAUUACCUAUUUCCUAGAGCCCCCUCACCACCACCAUUUUAUUUAAAACAUACUUUUUAAAGGUGGGGAGGGGUGUGAUUGCACUUAAUAAAUUCCUACGUAUCAUGUUGGCCUCAGGUAAAUCCUUUAACCCAUCAGAGCAGGAUAUCCAAUCAGAUUAGAGUUCUCAUCCUUGGCCAAGAAUUCUAUUCGUAUUUAUUAACUCAAGCCAAAUUCUUUCCAUUUGGUCCAUACCUGUUUGCCAGCAUCUUGAACUGGACUGAGCCUGGUAGGAAAUUGAGAAAAACAAUGUUAAGAAUAUCAUAUGCUAACUUUUUAUGGUUUUGUGUGUGUGUAUGUGUGUGUUUGGUAAAGAGUCUUUUAUUGGGGUACCUACCAGCUACCUUUGAUGAAUAAAAAGCUACCUUUAAGUAGAGUUACUGUAAAGCAGCUACAUUCUCCAAACUUCCUGACACUGGGAAUCUCCUGUAAUUUCCAGCCAGGAGUAAAAUAAGUAGUGAACUAAGUGCCAAUACUCUGGGAAUCCAUUUUACAGAAAGUCAGCAGUCAUCAACUUUCCUACUUUCCAAUCUCCCUGUUACAGUUGCAUGGAACAUUAUCAAUUUGGAAAAAAAUAAACAUGACUGGCAACAGUAUUUACCUAGGAAAGAGGGAAACAAACUUUUAACAUUUAAAAAAACCAAAGGAAGCCUGAGACUUGCUUACCCAGAGGCGCAGGCAGAGCCCAGGGAGUGGGCAACAGUCCUCAGCACUUGCUCAGUUUCCACAGUCCUUAAACAGACACUGGCUCAGGCUCCUGCUUCCUUGACCUGCUGCCUGGCUCUCUCAGCCCAUGUCCCUCUCCCAGAGGGAACCAUUUGGCUCAACAGGAAUCCCCAACAUCUAAACCAAUUGUAAAACAAAGCCUGACCACUGCAUUUCUCUCUGUGGUAGUGCCGUUCACCAGAGAUACAGGUAGUCGGGGCAGGGAAAACUGUGUGUUCCCACCCCAUAUAUAUGGCUGGAAAGGGGGUGCCUAGGACAGUUUGCAACGCUGCACCUUGUUUCCUCUUUAAAAGCAUGAUAAAAUUGAUGUCCCAUUCGGUUUCCUAAUUAGUAAAAUUAGUUAUUUUCUGAUCAGUAAAAGGGUCUUUCACCACUGAGGCAAAUAUAUAAAACACCCCACAAUCCUCCCAUUUCAAGAGAAGAUUACUAAGCGGUACCCAUGAUAGCUAUAACGAUUCCUUCAUUUCAUUCCCUCAACUCUAAAUUUAGAUCUUUACAAAUUUUAUUGAAUUUGGAGAGUAAACCUUUCUAUAGGAAUGUAUAGCAGUAAAACACAGUAAAAAUGCCCACUGAUGCUGAAGAGAGCCACACCGAAACUUAGAAACUCUUCCUUCAGACAAACUUUCUCUAGGGCAACCUUUCCUCUUUAUCUUGGCGGACACAAGUCAGAACCCCAACGGUGCCGACUUUUUCCCAGGACAGACAACCAUAACGAGCCUCACAGCCUAAAAAUGUUGGAAGAGGGUCCCAUGCUGCAUAACGCGGUGCCACUCCUGAAAAGUUGGGGGAGAAAAUUGCUCCCUCAUUAAGGCUCACAGUAGUUAACCGCUCCCGCAAGACUCAACGCCAGACCUUUUAAAGAGCCCAACCGCCGGGCGAAGUGGCAACUGGAAGGCACUUGUGGCGGGGGAGUGUCUGUGUGGGCGAAAUUACCUCCGUUUCUUGCCAACACCGGAAUUAACACUGCUCCACAAUGAAGCUUAAAAGUGUUUCAGGCCCGUGAUCUUAACCCGCUUCCUAAACUGGCCGUUCCGGGGUCGUCAGAGCCACCGGACGGGCGGCGGCCCCGCGUGCGCCUAGAACACGGACACCGUCCCGGGCUCUGCGCCUCCGUCCUGGGUGAUGUCCAACGGCUCAUCUUUCUCAGAGACGAGCAAGUCCAUCAGAAGGCUGUGAGCUGUGAAGAUUCAUGUUCUUUUUCUUCCCUCGCUGCCCAGGAUCAGUAUAAGAGUCAGGAGAUAAAGCAACCGCAGACAUCAUUUAUGAUUUAAACGGCAAUUCCAGUUGGGUAACAUUUUAAUUGGCGUCGUUGGGCCAUUUGCCACAUGCAGGUCUCUGCCCAGCAGCCUGCCUUUUCCAAGCAGCUGUAGGCUUGUUUUCAAGCCAAGAGAGAAUGUCUGCUCUCACGGAGGACUGCUGGUUUCAUUUGCCUAAAUAGAAGUGGAUGAUGGCUGAAAUGUGGCUGAUUUUAGCAAUCAGAGGGUGUACAGAAUAUCUCUGGAAGGAUGUAUAUGAAACUAGAGACAAUGGGUUGCCUCCAAGGAGAAGAUUUGAGCAGCAAAGUGUAAAAGAAAUAGAAUUAUGCUCUUUUGUACCAAUCCAUCUAUUUUUUAAAAAGAACAGGAACCAUGGCAUAGCCAGGCUUACCAACUUUGGAAUAAAGCUGGGGAAUGGAGGUUGUUCAGCCUACAGC